AGUGAACGCUGGCGGUAGGCCUAACACAUGCAAGUCGAACGGCAGCACAGUAAGAGCUUGCUCUUACGGGUGGCGAGUGGCGGACGGGUGAGGAAUACAUCGGAAUCUACUUUUUCGUGGGGGAUAACGUAGGGAAACUUACGCUUAUACCGCAUACGACCUACGGGUGAAAGCAGGGGAUCUUCGGACCUUGCGCGAUUGAAUGAGCCGAUGUCGGAUUAGCUAGUUGGCGGGGUAAAGGCCCACCAAGGCGACGAUCCGUAGCUGGUCUGAGGGGAUGAUCAGCCACACUGGAACUGAGACACGGUCCAGACUCCUACGGGAGGCAGCAGUGGGGAAUAUUGGACAAUGGGCGCAAGCCUGAUCCAGCCAUACCGCGUGGGUGAAGAAGGCCUUCGGGUUGUAAAGCCCUUUUGUUGGGAAAGAAAAGCAGCAGGUUAAUACCCCGCUGUUCUGACGGUACCCAAAGAAUAAGCACCGGCUAACUUCGUG
rnacentral:rRNA from 1 species